rnacentral:rRNA from 1 species
GAUGAACGCUGGCGGCGUGCCUAAUACAUGCAAGUCGAGCGAACAGACGAGGAGCUUGCUCCUCUGACGUUAGCGGCGGACGGGUGAGUAACACGUGGAUAACCUACCUAUAAGACUGGGAUAACUUCGGGAAACCGGAGCUAAUACCGGAUAAUAUAUUGAACCGCAUGGUUCAAUAGUGAAAGACGGUUUUGCUGUCACUUAUAGAUGGAUCCGCGCCGCAUUAGCUAGUUGGUAAGGUAACGGCUUACCAAGGCGACGAUGCGUAGCCGACCUGAGAGGGUGAUCGGCCACAAUGGAAAUGAGAAAAGGGCCAGAAUCCUACGGGAGGCAGCAGUAGGGAAUCUUCCGCAAUGGGCGAAAGCCUGACGGAGCAACGCCGCGUGAGUGAUGAAGGUCUUCGGAUCGUAAAACUCUGUUAUUAGGGAAGAACAAAUGUGUAAGUAACUAUGCACGUCUUGACGGUACCUAAUCAGAAAGCCACGGCUAACUACGUG